UACGGAGGGUGCAAGCGUUGUCCGGAAUCAUUGGGUGUAAAGGGUGCGUAGGCGGGAGCUUAAGUCUGGGGUGAAAUCUUGCCGCUUAACGGUAAAAUGGCCUUAGAUACUGGGUUUCUUGAGUGUAGAAGAGGUAAGUGGAAUUCGUAGUGUAGCGGUGAAAUGCAUAGAUAUUACGAAGAACAUCAGUGGCGAAGGCGGCUUACUGGUCUACAACUGACGCUGAGGCACGAAAGCGUGGGGAGCGAACAGG
rnacentral:rRNA from 1 species